CACGGUGGUCUAGCGGUUAGAACGCUGGCCUUGUAAUCCUGGGGUCUCGGGUUCGAUUCCCGGCGGUG
rfam:Zootermopsis nevadensis contig14113, whole genome shotgun sequence.